UUAGUGAAGAAGGUUGAAUGUGUGCGGUCUUAGAACGGCUUCUAAGCUCCCAAGUUAACUUAAAAUGUAGUACAACGCUCCUAGGAAAGUGAUAAUGGUUCAAUUCAUGGCACGUCGAAUGUUUGUACAGUAAAUUUUUUCCAUGUGCUUUGCCCGCCAGAGAAGCUCUGAGCGUGAUCUGUAAGCGAUUUAGAGAUGGAAAAUGCAAUAAUAUAAUACAAUCUAACAAUUGUGGGCACGCCACCCUGCUGCCAAUUCUCCGAUCUGAAAAACCAGUUGGGGAACUCAUGUAAGAACCGAGCGACAUCGACCCACGUCAAAAAAGGGACAUGGCCAACCUAAAUGCAAUUGGAGAGACACGCUGGUCGUUGGUGAUCCUCCAGGCAUAGGAUGUGGGGAUAUGUGCCGUCUGUCGCUCCUGACUGAAUGGAUGCGCGUCGAGUGCGCCGAUCUCAUGACAACCUGCAAUCAAGCGCCAGCAGGCACUUCCAGAAAGGACUGGGAUUGGGCCAUGCCCCCAAUACACACAAAACAAUGCUAGCAGAGGUGAAGAUGUAUGCAACCAAUCGCGUAGGCAACUGGCAACAAGCAACAUGCAACUGGCAACAUGCAACAGACGACGGAAAACAUUCAACAAUACGACAUUUGCACGGGCUUUAACUUAAAUUAUGCGCCAAACAAAUAAGGUCUCGCCCAGUCUCAACUUCGGAGCCAGUCCCAUAAUGAUGCCAUGAGGCCAUCGGCAAGUUGUAAAUGUUCCUGCACACAAAAAAAAAUGGGUUAAGCAAAAAACGAACAAAAAAAAAUCGUUAAC